AUCAUAGUGGAAUAGCCUCGAGCAUGCGAUGCUGUCCUGGUCUUAGCUCUAUACGAGGAGUUACUGGUAGGUCCUACAUCUUUACAAUANCUUGUUGGGAACUGAGUGUUUCUGGGUAAGGAUAAGGCAAAAGUAUUGUAAAGUAGUGAAAAAUUAUUCGUUGGGUCUUAUAUCUGUUAUACUAUAUUUGUUUUCGAUUAACAUGGCAAGUUUAGAUAUUUGCUAUGUGAUAAUACAAUAGCUAUUGGUUAGUUAAAAAGGGGUUAAAGUUACCCAUUUUUAAGAAAAUUGUUAAAAGUUUUUUGUUUAGGCGGUUGUGUUUAUUAGAUAUAUAGUAUACAUUAAUAACUAGGUUUAUUAAUUAUAAAAUAAGUAAUAUUAAUUCUUUAUUCAUUUCUCGAGCUUUGCCCGUCUGUUUAUUAAAAACAUUUCCAAAUUUUAUAAUAUUUGGUAGUACCUGCUCUAUGUUUAUAUAAAUGGCCGCAGUAUUUUGACUGUGCGAAGGUAGCAUAAUUAAUUGCCUUAUAAUUGAAGGCUUGUUUGAAUGGUUUGACGUGGUGACAGUUAAUGUGUAAAGUAUUUAUUGAAAUUUAUUUUGAGGGCACAGAAUCCUCAUUUAUUAAUUAGACGGAAAGACCCCGGGAUUUUGUUAUUUUGUUUGGGGCGAAUUUUAAUAAUUCAUUGAAAUUUUGACCCUUUAGGUUUAAUGGUUUAAAUUACCCCGGGGAUAACAGGGUAAUAAUCAAUA
rnacentral:rRNA from 1 species